rnacentral:rRNA from 1 species
AGAACGAACGCUGGCGGCAUGCCUAAUACAUGCAAGUCGAACGAACUCUUCGGAGUUAGUGGCGCACGGGUGCGUAACGCGUGGGAAUCUGCCCCUUGGUUCGGAAUAACAGUUGGAAACGACUGCUAAUACCGGAUGAUGACGAAAGUCCAAAGAUUUAUCGCCAAGGGAUGAGCCCGCGUAGGAUUAGCUAGUUGGUGAGGUAAGGCUCACCAAGGCAACGAUCCUUAGCUGGUCUGAGAGGAUGAUCAGCCACACUGGGACUGAGACACGGCCCAGACUCCUACGGGAGCAGCAGUAGGGAAUAUUGGACAAGUGGGACGAAAGCCUAGAUCCAGCAAUGCCGCGUGAGUGAUGAAGGCUUAGGGUAGUAAAGUCUUCUUUACCCGAGAUGAAUAA